rnacentral:rRNA from 1 species
GACGAACGCUGGCGGCGUGCUUAACACAUGCAAGUCGAACGGAAAGGCCCUGCUUUUGUGGGGUGCUUGAGUGGCGAACGGGUGCGUAACACGUGAGUAACCUGCCCUUUACUUUGGGUUAACUUCAGGAAACUGGGGCUACUACCGGAUCGGAGCUCCUGCUGCAUGGUGGGGGUUGGAACGUUUCGGCGGUUGGGGCUGGACUCGCGGCUUACCAGCUUGUUGGUGGGGUAGUGGCUUACGAAUUCUUUGACGGGUAGCCGGCCUGAGCGGGUGACCGGCCACAUAGGGACUGAGGUACGGCCCAGACUCGUGCGGGAGGCAGCAGGGGGGAAUAGUGCACAAUGGGCGGAAGCCUGAUGCAGCAGCGCCGCGUGCGGGAUGACGGCCUUCGGGUUGUAAACCGCUUUCGCCUAUGACGAAGCGUGAGUGACGGUAAUGGGUAAAGAAGCACCGGCUAACUACGUG